rnacentral:ncRNA from 1 species
AUAAAAAGAGAAUUUGCAGGAUAAAACGCUUCGGGAGCAGUAGGGAAGCCGGUGUAAGUCCGGCGCUGCCCCGCAUCUGUGAGCGGGACGACUCCGCAGAGGCCACUGCCGAACUUUUGGUGGGAAGGCGCGGACGAGGACGACCGCCAGCCAGAAGACCAGCCCGGAGCACAGAAGCGCC